rnacentral:rRNA from 1 species
UACGUAGGGGGCAAGCGUUAUCCGGAUUUACUGGGUGUAAAGGGAGCGUAGACGGCGAUGCAAGUCUGAAGUGAAAGGCGGGGGCCCAACCCCCGGACUGCUUUGGAAACUGUAUGGCUGGAGUGCAGGAGAGGUAAGUGGAACUCCUAGUGUAGCGGUGAAAUGCGUAGAUAUUAGGAGGAACACCAGUGGCGAAGGCGGCUUACUAGACUGUAACUGACGUUGAGGCUCGAAAGCGUGGGGAGCAAACAGG